rnacentral:misc_RNA from 1 species
GGAAGUAAAAGUCGUGACAAGGUUUCCGUAGGUGAACCUGCGGAAGGAUCAUUCAUGAUAAGUGUUUUAUGGCACUUUUUUAAAUCCAUAUCCACCUUGUGUGCAAUGUCAGGGUUGAUUUUUCUCUCGAGAGGAUCAACCCCAAACAUCAACUAUAUCUCAACUCUUUGUCUGAAAAAUAUUAUGAAUAAAACAAUUCAAAAUACAACUUUCAACAACGGAUCUCUUGGCUCUC